GACCGUAUGAAGGAUUGCGCGGUGAAAUACCAAUAUCCUGAAGUUAGCAGAUACUGCUUCGGUUACCACUGCAAUUAUUACACGAUGACUAAAUACACGUACGAACAUGCCCUGGACUUCAUGUACUGUGGUGUGGGCAAGGUAAGAGACUGGAAGGGACCAAGAAGUUGCUACAAGCGCAUAUAUAUAUGAGGUUUGUGUACGAGGCGUGUGCAAGAGCAGCGGCGGCAGUUUGCCGCAAAGGCCAGCCACCAAGAGAACAAUAAUGACGACA